rnacentral:rRNA from 1 species
GAUGAACGCUGGCGGCGUGCCUAAUACAUGCAAGUCGAGCGAAUGGAUUGAGAGCUUGCUCUUAUGAAGUUAGCGGCGGACGGGUGAGUAACACGUGGGUAACCUGCCCAUAAGACUGGGAUAACUCCGGGAAACCGGGGCUAAUACCGGAUAACAUUUUGAACCGCAUGGUUCGAAAUUGAAAGGCGGCUUCGGCUGUCAGUUAUGGAUGGACCCGCGUCGCAUUAGCUAGUUGGUGAGGUAACGGCUCACCAAGGCAACGAUGCGUAGCCGACCUGAGAGGGUGAUCGACCACACUGGGACUGAGACACGGCCCAGACUCCUACGGGAGGCAGCAGUAGGGAAUCUUCCGCAAUGGACGAAAGUCUGACGGAGCAACGCCGCGUGAGUGAUGAAGGCUUUCGGGUCGUAAAACUCUGUUGUUAGGGAAGAACAAGUGCUAGUUGAAUAAGCUGGCACCUUGACGGUACCUAACCAGAAAGCCACGGCUAACUACGUGCCAGCAGCCGCAGUAA